AGAAGCUAGAGAAUUUCAAUUAAGCUAUAGUCUUAACACCUUCCAGCACCUACAAAUUUGAAAGUUAUCAAGUACAGAAGUAUUGCCCAUUUGCCUGAGAAGAUGUUGACUUUUGGCCAUGUUACAAGCUUACAAGUGAGAGAAAAAGGUUCCACCUUG